rnacentral:rRNA from 1 species
UACGUAGGGUGCGAGCGUUAAUCGGAAUUACUGGGCGUAAAGCGUGCGCAGGCGGUUAUGUAAGACAGAUGUGAAAUGCCCGGGCUUAACCUGGGAACUGCAUUUGUGACUGCAUGGCUAGAGUGUGUCAGAGGGGGUAGAAUUCCACGUGUAGCAGUGAAAUGCGUAGAUAUGUGGAGGAAUACCGAUGGCGAAGGCAGCCCCCUGGGAUAACACUGACGCUCAUGCACGAAAGCGUGGGGAG